rnacentral:rRNA from 1 species
GACGAACGCUGGCGGCAGGCUUAACACAUGCAAGUCGAACGCAUCCUUCGGGGUGAGUGGCAGACGGGUGAGUAACGCGUGGGAACGUGCCCUUCAGUUCGGGAUAACCCAGGGAAACUUGGGCUAAUACCGGAUACGUGCGAGAGCAGAAAGAUUUAUCGCUGAAGGAUCGGCCCGCGUCUGAUUAGCUAGUUGGUGAGGUAAUGGCUCACCAAGGCGGCGAUCAGUAGCUGGUCUGAGAGGAUGAUCAGCCACAUUGGGACUGAGACACGGCCCAAACUCCUACGGGAGGCAGCAGUGGGGAAUAUUGGACAAUGGGCGCAAGCCUGAUCCAGCCAUGCCGCGUGAGUGAUGAAGGCCUUAGGGUUGUAAAGCUCUUUCGUCCGGGACGAUAAUGACGGUACCGGAAGAAGAAGCCCCGGCUAACUUCGUGCCAGCCGCCGCCGUAACAC